CCCGCUGAACUUAAGCAUAUCAAUAUAGCGGAGGAAAAGAAACUAACAAGGAUUCCCCUAGUAACUGCGAGUGAAGCGGGAAAAGCUCAAAUUUAAAAUCUGGCGGUCUCGCGGCCGUCCGAGUUGUAAUCUGGAGAAGCGUCUAUCCCCGCCGAACCGGGUCCAAGCCUCCGGGAAGGAAGCGCCGAAAAGGGUGAGAAUUCCCGCCUCUAACACGAACGACCAAUGCUCUUGUGAUGCGCUCUCGAAGAGUCGAGUUGUUUGGGAAUGCAGCUCAAAAUGGGUGGUAAAUUCCAUCUAAAGCUAAAUAUUGGCGAGAGACCGAUAGCGAACAAGUACCGUGAGGGAAAGAUGAAAAGCACUUUGGAAAGAGAGUUAAACAGUACGUGAAAUUGUUGAAAGGGAAACGUUUGAAGUCAGUCGCGUCGGCCGAGACUCAACCUCGCGCUCGCCCUCGGCGCACUUCUCGGUCGACGGGUCAGCAUCAAUUUCGACCGCCGGACAAAGGUUGUGGGAACGUGGCAUCCUUCGGGAUGUGUUAUAGCCCUCGAUUCACCUACCGAUAUUGGGAAUGACGACCUCGCCCCCUCGCGCGUCCAGGAUGCUGGCAUAAUGGCUUUAAGCGACCCGUCUUGAAACACGG
rnacentral:rRNA from 1 species